rnacentral:lncRNA from 10 species
AUGUCAUCUACCAGGUGUUUAAGGGACAGUGGAGAUCAUGCCAUUUCAGACCUGGUGGAAGCAACCACUAAUAUAAACACCUCCCAUGUAUAGGAAGGCUGGAGUGGGAAUCCUUAACCCCGCCCCCUGCUCAGGUCAAUCCCCCACCCACCGCCCCCACUGUCCCUCCCAGUCUUCCUUCCCAGAGGAGAAGGCUGGGUAUGAGGAAACUGCUGUCUUUUCACUGGAUCAGACGUAAAUAUUAACUGGACCUCUCUUUAGAUUCUUUGCUCAAUAAUGAAUUGUUUUCAGAUGUACCUCUGAGAAAAUGCUGUGUAUCAAAUGAUUACGAGUUUUGUUCCGAUAAAUGGCCAUCUGUUGAGGACCUGCUAUGUUGGUGUUGGCACAGACUAUACUCAAGUGCUUAAUAAAUGAAUGAGAUGGAGUCUCACUCUGUUGCCAGGCUGGAGUACAGUGGCAUGAUCUCAGCUCACUGCAACCUCUGCUUCCAGGUUCAAGCGAUUCUCCUGCCUCAGCCUCCUGAGUAGGGUACUACAGGGCACCAAUGCCUCUGCUCUGGAAAAAGACAUUGGU